UACGUAGGGGGCAAGCGUUGUCCGGAAUCAUUGGGCGUAAAGCGCGUGUAGGCGGUUCAGUAAGUCUGCUGUGAAAGUCCAGGGCUCAACCCUGGGAUGCCGGUGGAUACUGCUGGGCUAGAGUGCGGAAGAGGCGAGUGGAAUUCCCGGUGUAGCGGUGAAAUGCGCAGAUAUCAGGAGGAACACCGGUGGCGAAGGCGGUUCUCUGGGCCUUACCUGACGCUGAGGAGCGAAAGCAUGGGGAGCAAACAGGG
rnacentral:rRNA from 1 species